AGCAAUGCCAGUUAUCAGAAAAUCAAAUGCACACACAACAAGAUAAAUACCGCUAUAAAUAAAAUGCUUGACAUAGAUCCUACAAGCAUCUGAAAAUGGAGAUACUCAUGUCCUCUACUGUACUAAGAUAAGUCCAUGUGGUUUUAUGACCAGGAGCAAGGCAAGUAUGUGCAUGACCAUGCGCGCAUGCAGCAAGACAGAUUACGGAUAUGCUGCUUUCAGAAGGUGGCUAUGACUAAUUAAGAUGAAGAAAUCAAAAUAUAUGACCUUAACAGUAUCAGAAAGUAUAAACUGAGAGAUGCUACAAGUUAAAAACUUGGCUAGACAGAACCAUAACCAAUAACAGAUCUAGCUUGAGUUCAUAGGCAUGAGAUGAGCAAUGGUUCCUGGUCUUGGAUUGAGACUACUUAUGUUAUUGGACCAGUGUAAAUUGCCCAAUGUUAUUUUGUAAGACGGUACAUUGUGUAUCUUAAGCAAAAUUGCACUGGAUGGCCUAGGAUAUUAUACAUGCAGAUACCAAUUCUUGUUUCAUUUGAGAUCAAACAAAUUUCAUCAAAGGCUGCAUGAUGCAACUCCUGUGCUGCACUCUUAAGAGAAUUGAGUGGCAAAUCACAGAACAUUUCAUCUCAAUUUUUAACCUAGAAUUUCCUGAACCUUUCAAACCACAUCAAAGUUCAAGUGCUCUAGCACCUUGUCUAAUUGUUAGUUCAGACU